rnacentral:ncRNA from 2 species
UGUUACUGUAGACUCCGAGUCUUGCGACCUAACCGAAAGCAGGGUUUUAAGACCGUCAGGGUAUAUCUGGAAACGGAUGUGCCUUCCAUAUUGAAAAGGAGGAAAUUAAAUGUCAAC